AUUUACAAAAAUCGCACAUAUACCGACACGUGAUCCGGGGUGCCCCAUGGCCUGUUUUGAGGCUAUAGAGGGUCGGAUUAUGGGGUGUAUGGAGGCAUAAC
rnacentral:sRNA from 1 species